rnacentral:misc_RNA from 1 species
UAAGUAGAGCAUCCAUAAAAUCGCCUGCCAAUUGGCACGCAUCAUUGGGUAAGAAUUCAUUGAGGAGCUGCUCAUGUACAAAGGAUAAUUCAGACUACAGAGGAAGUCAUUAUUCAUUAAUGACUACACAUCAUGCAAAUCAUUAUAAAUAGAAUCAUUCUAGUGGAGGCCUACAAUACUAAAAGAAUUGAAAUAAAGGCUUUACAUCUGGAUAAUUAUCCAAGCCCUUAAACAAUCUCAGCAGCAAAGUUCCCCUGCUUUGGUCCCCUGUAAAGUCUACCUCUAAAAGAAAUUUCAAAGGUAAAUAAUCAUCCUCCUUAGAUCCAUCAAUAUUUGUGGAGUGGUCAGAUCCAGCAUUAACAGCCUUUAACUUCUUAUCGACCAGGUGCAAAAAGGGAUCAACCUAGAAGCAUAUGACCAGGUUAAGUCAAACACAAUGUUAAAACUCUAAUGCAGCCUUUAACUUCUUCUAAAUACCAGCUUUUGAAGGCUGAAACGAGCCAAG